rnacentral:pre_miRNA from 1 species
AAUAAAUCAAUUUUUCACUUUUUAACUAUAAUAUUUGACUCUCCGUCUUAUUCAUUUUUUUUGUGAUUGAUAUUUUUGUUUUUAUUAGAUAAUAAAUCAUAAAUAGUACUUUACGUGUGACUAGUUUUUUUAAUUUCCUAAAAAAUUUUCAAAUAAGACGGAUGGUCAAACGUUGGACCUGGAAACCGAAG